GACAGGUAGAAGCAUGUAGCCUGGAAAUCAGAUGCAUGCUGUCAACAGAAAUUGUUUAAAGCUAUGAAAAUAACUUUUGAGUUUUUCUGCACAUUUUAGACAAAAAGUAUAUAGAAUAUUUGAGGUUCAGAGAGACCAAAGCCACCAAAUCCAGAAGGACAUCAAGUAGAAAUACAAAAGUCAGAAAAAGCAAGAAGCUACAAAUCAUUUCCACCCCAGUGUGUCAGAGCCCACACGCAUUACCUCCCUGACAACAUCCCAGGACUUGGAGUUAAAGGGAUGGAAACAAGAUGAGAAACUUCAGAAUGGAGAAAUGGAAUGAAGUGACCAAAACAAUUAAGGAAUUGGUGAAAGACUCCAAAACUAAAUCCAAAUGAGCCCACGAGGCAAUAAAUCAC